rnacentral:rRNA from 1 species
AGAGUUUGAUCCUGGCUCAGGAUGAACGCUAGCUACAGGCUUAACACAUGCAAGUCGAGGGGCAGCGGGAAGAAAGCUUGCUUCUUGCCGGCGACCGGCGCACGGGUGAGUAACGCGUAUCCAACCUUCCCCUUAGUAGGGCAUAGCCCGUAGAAAUGCGGAUUAAUACCCUAUGUUGUUCGAUGCGGACAUCUAAGUUGAACCAAAGGUUUACCGCUAAGGGAUGGGGAUGCGUCCGAUUAGGCAGCAGGCGGGGUAACGGCCCACCUGGCCGACGAUCGGUAGGGGUUCUGAGAGGAAGGUCCCCCACAUUGGAACUGAGACACGGUCCAAACUCCUACGGGAGGCAGCAGUGAGGAAUAUUGGUCAAUGGGCGAGAGCCUGAACCAGCCAAGUAGCGUGCCAGGACGACGGCCCUAUGGGUUGUAAACUGCUUUUAUGCGGGGAUAAAGUGCGGCACGUGUGCCGUUUUGUAGGUACCGCAUGAAUAAGGACCGGCUAAUUCCGUGCCAGCAGCCGC